UGAUUACUUGGAGAAAAAUACUGAUCCUUUUUUUUUAUAUUCUAAAUAUCUAUUCAGAAAUAUAAUUAAACUCAAAUUGCUAACACAACUAAAAAAAGUAUCUUCUCUAUCUCUUAAAUCCCUCUUCAUUUUUAUUCUUAUCUGUACUCAUAUGUGAAGAAAAAUAAGAUCAACAAUUAAAAUAAUAAAUCACUGUUCAAGCAGCCAGUAAUAGCAACAAUAAUAAAAAUGCCCCACACGUUUUCCAUCAUUAAUAACAGCAACAAAAUCACCACCACCAUUAACGCCUCCUUCUCCUUCUCCGUUCACUUCUGUUACUAAAUCUGCAACAGUUUCUCCCCCACCAAGUUUUGCUCUAUUAACAUCUCCAGCCAGCCACAAAUUCUAUAUUAACAUUACCAUCAAAACCGCCCACACAAUCACCAGCUCUAUCAAUCACUCUGACUAGCUCAAACAAGUUCUGAGGCGUGCAGUUGCAAUUGUUCAGAAAGCCAGCAUGGUCGAGGAUGGUAAGCGAUGGUGAGGAUGAUCAACGGUAGACAAUUCAAUCAACACCAUGUUAUUUUCUUUUUCUCUUUAACGUUAUUUUCAUUUGGAGGUCAGGCUUAUUUGGACAGUGGAAAACUGAAAUGGAAAGUAUUUUUAUUUUAUUUAAAUAACAAAUAUAAUUACGCAUCAUCCUAUUAUUGGUGAA
rnacentral:lncRNA from 1 species